ACUCAAAUGAAUAGACGGGGGCUCACACAAGCGGUGGAGCAUGUGGCUCAAUUCGAAGCAACGCGAAGAACCUUAUCCUAGGUUUGACAUGUAUGGAUUAGUCGCCAGAAACGGCGAUGACACUCUUGUAGUGGAACAUACACAGGUGCUGCAUGGCUGUCGUCAGCUCGUGCUGUGAAGUGUCGGGUUAAGUCCCUUAACGAGCGCAACCCCUGUCGCUAGUUGCCACCAUUUAGUUGGGCACUCUAGCGAGACUGCCGGUGUUAAACCGGAGGAAGGUGGGGAUGACGUCAAGUCCUCAUGGCCUUUAUGCCUAGGGCUGCACACGUGCUACAAUGGCAUGAACAGAACGAUGCAAGACCGCAAGGUGGAGCAAAUCGCUCAAAUCAUGCCCCAGUUCGGAUUGAGGGCUGCAACCCGCCCUCAUGAAGUCGGAAUCGCUAGUAAUCGCGGAUCAGCUACGCCGCGGUGAAUAUGUUCCUGAGCCUUGUACACACCGCCCGU
rnacentral:rRNA from 1 species